rnacentral:rRNA from 1 species
CAGGUGCUGCAUGGCUGUCGUCAGCUCGUGUUGUGAAAUGUUGGGUUAAGUCCCGCAACGAGCGCAACCCUUAUCCUUUGUUGCCAGCACGUCAUGGUGGGAACUCAAAGGAGACUGCCGGUGAUAAACCGGAGGAAGGUGGGGAUGACGUCAAGUCAUCAUGGCCCUUACGAGUAGGGCUACACACGUGCUACAAUGGCGUAUACAAAGAGAAGCGACCUCGCGAGAGCAAGCGGAACUCAUAAAGUACGUCGUAGUCCGGAUUGGAGUCUGCAACUCGACUCCAUGAAGUCGGAAUCGCUAGUAAUCGUAGAUCAGAAUGCUACGGUGAAUACGUUCCCGGGCCUUGUACACACCGCCCGUCACACCAUGGGAGUGGGUUGCAAAAGAAGUAGGUAGCUUAACCUUCGGGAGGGCGCUUACCACUUUG